UACAGAGGUGGCAAGCGUUGUUCGGAAUUACUGGGCGUAAAGCGCGUGUAGGCGGCUCUUCAAGUCAGGCGUGAAAGCCCCGGGCUCAACUCGGGAACUGCGCUUGAUACUGUCGAGCUAGAGUGUGGAAGGGGCGAUUGGAAUUCCGUGUGUAGCGGUGAAAUGCGUAGAUAUACGGAGGAACACCAGAGGCGAAGGGCGGAUCGCUGGGCCAACACUGACGCUGAGAACGCGGAA
rnacentral:rRNA from 1 species